rnacentral:rRNA from 1 species
GACGUAGGGCGCGAGCGUUGUCCGGAUUUAUUGGGCGUAAAGAGCUCGUAGGCGGCUUGUCGCGUCGAAUGUGAAAUCUCAGGGCUCAACUCUGACAUUGCAUUCGAUACGGGCAGGCUAGAGUUCGGUAGAGGAGACUGGAAUUCCUGGUGUAGCGGUGAAAUGCGCAGAUAUCAGGAGGAACACCGGUGGCGAAGGCGGGUCUCUGGGCCGAUACUGACGCUGAGGAGCGAAAGCGUGGGGAGCGAACAGG